rnacentral:rRNA from 1 species
UGGGGAAUUUUGGACAAUGGGCGAAAGCCUGAUCCAGCAAUGCCGCGUGUGUGAAGAAGGCCUUCGGGUUGUAAAGCACUUUUGUCCGGAAAGAAAUCCUUGGCUCUAAUACAGUCGGGGGAUGACGGUACCGGAAGAAUAAGCACCGGCUAACUACGUGCCAGCAGCCGCGGUAAUACGUAGGGUGCAAGCGUUAAUCGGAAUUACUGGGCGUAAAGCGUGCGCAGGCGGUUUGCUAAGACCGAUGUGAAAUCCCCGGGCUCAACCUGGGAACUGCAUUGGUGACUGGCAGGCUAGAGUAUGGCAGAGGGGGGUAGAAUUCCACGUGUAGCAGUGAAAUGCGUAGAGAUGUGGAGGAAUACCGAUGGCGAAGGCAGCCCCCUGGGCCAAUACUGACGCUCAUGCACGAAAGCGUGGGGAGCAAACAGGGUUAGAUACCCUGGUAGUCCACGCCCUAAACGAUGUCAACUAGUUGUUGGGGAUUCAUUUCCUUAGUAACGUAGCUAACGCGUGAAGUUGACCGCCUGGGGAGUACGGUCGCAAGAUUAAAACUCAAAUGAAUUGACGGGGUCAUAGCUGUUUCCU